rnacentral:lncRNA from 1 species
CAUCUCUCUUUAUGCUCUUCUACUUUGGAUAUCUCUAUAUAUUAUAUUAACAUGAUUACUUUGUAAUACAUAAGUGAUAUACUAGACUAGAAUCUCUGCCUUGGGAUUAAAGCAAUAUGACAGAGAUGAAUGGAUUGGCUUCUAUGCAUUAGUUACCACAAGUUGAGUUAAAUGCCUUCAUAGAACACAUGUGAAUAUGGAAGUAAGCUUAUGGCAAUGUUGGAUUGGUUCCUCAUGUGCAACUUCGGAUUUCUUUUCACCAAAUAAAUAUAACUAUAUAGCAGAAACACAAAAAAUGAAGAACAGAUUUAGUGAGACACUAUAUUAGUUGUUAUCAGUGAGGCACUGCUACUCUUUCAUUCAGCAUGGAGAACAAAUUUAGUCCUCUUUUAGUCAUUAUCCAUUUAAAGCCAAUGUUUUUUGUUUGUUAUCAUUGCGUGAUUAGUUAUCCAAUUGAAUGUUGUGUUGUCGUCUUGGUUAUAUUACUUAGAUUUGAAACUGGAAUGAUGGCAGUGUGUUUCUUUAUAUUCCACUUCUUAUCUUAGUGAAUAAUAAAAGUUCUUUUACCAUUAUAUUUAUAUAAG